rnacentral:rRNA from 1 species
GACGUAGGAUGCAAGCGUUGUCCGGAUUUAUUGGGCGUAAAGAGUUCGUAGGCGGUUCGUUAAGUCUGAUGUUAAAGAUCGGGGCUCAACCCCGGGAGUGCAUUGGAUACUGGCGAGCUGGAGUGCGGUAGAGGUUAGUGGAAUUCCCAGUGUAGCGGUGAAAUGCGUAGAUAUUGGGAAGAACACCAGUGGCGUAGGCGACUAACUGGGCCGUAACUGACGCUGAGGAACGAAAGCCAGGGGAGCGAAUGGG